rnacentral:rRNA from 1 species
AGCGAACGCUGGCGGCGGGCCUAAGACAUGCAAGUCGAACGAAGUCUUCGGACUUAGUGGCGGACGGGUGAGUAACACGUGGGAACGUGCUUUUAGGUUCGGAAUAACUCAGGGAAACUUGUGCUAAUACCGAAUGUGCCAUUCGGGGGAAAGGUUUAUCGCCUUUAGAGCGGCCCGCGUCUGAUUAGCGAGUGGGUGAGGUAAAUGCUUACACAGGCGACGAUCAGUAGCUGGUCUGAGCGGGUGAUCAGCCAAAUUGGGACUGAGACACGGCCCAAACUCCUACGAGAGGCAGCAGGGAGGAAUCUUGCGCCCUGGGCGAAAGCCUGACGCAGCCAUGCCGCGUGUAUGAAGAAGGUCUUAGGAUUGUAAAAUUCUUUCACCGGGGACGAUAAUGACGGUACCCGGAGAAGACGCCCCGGCUAACUACGUGCCAGCCGCCGCCGUAA